GGUACCAUGAAUAUACACAUACCACAAAUACGUAUGGAAAAUGUAGCUGAAAAUAUAAGAUCACCUUUACUGUGUCGCGAUACGAAGAUAUGGCUAAAAAUAAAGAAGCACAUAAACAUUCAAGUUGAGAGAAGUUGAUGAAAACUUCGAACUUCAGACCUUAUUACGAGGUAAUUUCUGUAGUAAUUUGGUAAAAAAUUAAACUUGCUGUUUACAGCUUAUAUAUAUAUUCAUUAUAUGGCUGGAAAUUUGACCAAUGAGGAACGGAAAUGGAUCCUCAAACAGUACUGGAAAACCGGGAAUGCAGAGCUGGUUAGACAGAAAUGGACUGAAGAAUUUCAAAGACCAGCUCCAUCAAGAUUAACAGUAUAUAGAAUACGUAAUAAAUUUGAGCAGACUGGGUCUGUCUGCAAUGCGCAGAAACGCGGUCGACCAGUCAGUGUUACCACUGAAGAAAAUAAGAUUCUUGUGGCUCAAGCAUUUACCCAAAGCCCCCAGAAAUCAAAAAAGAGUACUUCCAAUGAACUAGGCAUCUCUCGCAGAUCCCUUGGUCGACUUAUGAAUCGAUUACCUAAAAAAGAAAUAGAGAAAUGAAAAGAAUAUUCUACUUAUUAACCAACUUUGUGCCUACUUUUGCUCACACUCAUGUAUGUGUGCAUGUAUAUAUAUGUAUAUAUAUGUAUGUGGUGACAUGUAGGUAUAUUCUUUAUAAAUAUUUGUACUGCAGUGUGUUGUGUGAAGAUAACCUGGCCACUGUGAAAUUCUGUCCAUGUGGAUAUAACUGGAUAUGGGAGGAAUAUUCCAAAAUUAAGCUUAAAGGAUCCUCAAGUAUGAACAGCCUGUAACUAACAAAAGUGAAUUUGUCUUAUUUUGCAGCUAGUUCUAGCUUGGAGAGACAAUGGUUAUCCGAGUAGCAAACCAAAGUUUCCUACUUGAAUAAAGACAAGAUUUAGUGACUAUCUCUGAAAACAAACAGGACAGUCACACAUGGAACACCUCUGGUCAUAAGUCUGUCAAUUUUUUUCUCUUGAUGCAUUUGAAUGAUUUGCGGUAUAUAUCU
rnacentral:lncRNA from 1 species